GGGCCUACAACGCCGUCGCAGCGGCCUUAAGCCCCGCCUAUCACUGGAGCCAUGCCCGCGUCCGAGUCCCACCCUCACCGCUGCCAGAGCUACGGCGGCCGCGCGCCUUCGUGGCCGCGCCCGCUCCUGCCCGGGGCCCCGUGUGUCUUGGGCCCGCCCUUCCGGGCGCUGCCGCGCUGGGUGGCGGAGUCGGGAUCCAGGUGGCCCGGCGGCACCCGGCCCAGUCCACCGCCCCUCCCUCGGCCUCGCGCCCCACCCUUUGGCUGAGGAAACAGACUGAGAGGGGAGGUGACUGAUCCAGGGGCAUACAGAAAUUCAGGCCCUGGGGAGUAUAGGGCCAGGCCUGGGGCAGAAGACCGGUUGGCGUCCAGUACGCCGCAGGGACCCGCCAAAGGAGACAGUGCCCAGUGAUGCUCUCCCAAAUCCAGGGGAGAAGGACUCAACGCUCCGGUGCCCACCACAAAAAGACGCCAGCCCCAUAUGAUGUGAAUGCACUGGGCCCCAGCCAGGAGAUGGAGACCCGUGAAGGGAAGCAAAGCAGCGCCUUCCCAGCCAGCAGCAGCAGCUACCCCUCCCAUUUCCUUCUUUGCCUGUGUGGGCCGUUCCCUCAUAGCAGCUCUAAUAUGAGAUGCUGGAGCCUGACCCAGAAUCGGGGCCCAACACAGUAUCCCCUUCUCGGACAGCACUGUGGUCCCUGCAGUUCAUGCGCCGUCUGUCUCUGUGCCUCAGUUCUCCCCUGUGCCAUGACCUCCCAUCAGGGCCAGCAUAUGGGGCAUCAGGAGAAUGGGUGCAGUUGUCACCUGGAAACCUCAGAACUCUUGGGGCCCAGUUAUGGCCAUACACAGCAGCCACCCCUGUCCCCAAACACUGAAGGUGAGCCCCUGCCCAGACUCCCCAGGAGGCCAGGCUGCCAUCAGACCCAGCCUGCCCCAGGCCUGUGGACAGGGCCAGUCCCAGGGCAGGAGGGUAGUGGCCCAGCCUGUGGGUCCCUCCAGGCCUCUCAUCUGCUUGUGUGCCUGAGUAAGUCCAGGCUGGCUCUGGGCUCCAGGUGCUCCCCUGGAGGACCCAGAGGGGGCUUCCCCAGAGGGCCUCUUUUGCCCCAUGGGAUGUGGCCUGACGCCAAUUCUUCUGCAUCCAUCACACCGUUAUGGCGUCUAGUACUUAGCUCUCUGGGUUUAUUUUGCACACACUCCUGCCCCUGAGUGAUGUCAGAGCCAUAAGGGUGGGGACAGAGUGGAAGGGAGACACAGUGGGGACCACAGUGGCUCCAUGCACUGCCCACCUUCAGGGAGCCCUGACCCCAGCCCCUUUUGGGAAAGCUAGCAUCCCACCUUCACAACCACUCCUGCACCCCCAGCACUGCCCCGACCAUGUGAUGGACAGGGAAACUGAGGCUUCGAGCAUGAAGCCCCUUGCCCAAAGUCUGGCAGCCAGGUGUGGCCUCCCAAGUACAGGUCGCUGCUCCUCGGCCACCUGAGGGUUUGAAGAGGAUUUACUUCAAGGAACCCAAUCCUGCAUGCAGGGACUCAAAAGCCCUGUGCCCUCUGGGAUGUGCCCUCCAAGCCUAUGGGAUGGAAGGUCACGGCAGAAAGCAGGACAGCUGCUAGUGCAGCCAGGGGUCUACAGCCCAGAUGCCCACCACGGGGACUGCAAGCAGGCAUGGACACCCCCAUGGUCAAAGGGGGAAGACAGACAUCAGCAGAGAACUGGGCUCAACUCCGAAUACAGCAAGGACACUUGGGACAGGAGGCGGCUUUGAGGAUGGAAAAUUAGGAAGAGGAAACAUCGGGGUGAAGGGGAUUCCGGCUGACAGAAUUCUUGCAAAGACAGCCUGGGCUGAUAAGAUCUCACCCAGAGGAUGGUGCAGCUUUCAUCCCGACUGAAAAACAUGGGUCUCGCCAACACCGAAUUUGAAAGACAGCUGAGACCCCAGUGGUCUGGAGACGACAAGGAUACCAUCGUAGCCUGGAUGUUGCUCGCGGCUGUUUCCCCACUCCUUUACCACCCCUGGAGAGGGACCCCCGGUGACUUUGUGGUGUGGCUUAGUCUGAUCCACACAUUAUGAACAGAAGCGAUGUGUGCUCCCUCCAGGCCAGAGCAUUUAAUUGCUGGUGCAAGUACCGCUUACCCUUGUAUCCUCUUCCGUCCUAGGCCUAGCACAGAGGCCGUGAGUCUGUGGAUUGUAUCCUCUUCCCCUGCCAUGAGACUGUGGACUCCCACACUGGAAUGGGGGCUCCUCCACCAGCCGGGGUCCCUGGUGACUGUAUGGAGUGGAGCCCACCCCUGCCAAUCCAGCCGGGACACAGAGUGCAAGUGGGAAAUAAACUUGGUUGUCUGAC